rnacentral:rRNA from 1 species
GGGAGGCAGCAGUGAGGAAUCUUGCGCAAUGGGCGAAAGCCUGACGCAGCCACGCCGCGUGCCGGAUGAAGGCCCUAUGGGUUGUAAACGGCUUUUAAGCAGGAAGAACGACCGGAUUUCGAUCUGGUGUGACGGUACUGCUUGAAUAAGCACCGGCUAACUCCGUGCCAGCAGCCGCGGUAAUACGGAGGGGGCUAGCGUUGUUCGGAAUU